rnacentral:misc_RNA from 1 species
AAUUCUCAACCUUACCAGCUUUUGUUGGUCAGGAUUGGAUGUGGGGGUUUUUUGCUGGCUUCGUCAAGAGGUUUGCUCCCCUUAAAUGUAUUAGCCGGUGCCCCGCGUGGACUGUCUAUUGGUGUGAUAAUUAUCUACGCCGUGGACGUUUACUUUCAAUGGGUUGCGCUGCUUCUAACCGUCCGUUCAGUUGGACAACUAUAUGACA